CUACGUGCCAGCAGCCGCGGUAAUACGUAGGGUGCGAGCGUUAAUCGGAAUUACUGGGCGUAAAGCGAGCGCAGACGGUUACUUAAGCAGGAUGUGAAAUCCCCGGGCUCAACCUGGGAACUGCGUUCUGAACUGGGUGACUAGAGUGUGUCAGAGGGAGGUAGAAUUCCACGUGUAGCAGUGAAAUGCGUAGAGAUGUGGAGGAAUACCGAUGGCGAAGGCAGCCUCCUGGGAUAACACUGACGUUCAUGCUCGAAAGCGUGGGUAGCAAACAGGAUUAGAUACCCUGGUAGUCCACGCUGUAAACGAUGUCGAUUUGGGGGUUGAGCUUUGAGCUUGGCGCCCGUAGCUAACGUGAUAAAUCGACCGCCUGGGGAGUACGGCCGCAAGGUUAAAACUCAAAUGAAUUGACGGGGGCCCGCACAAGCGGUGGAGCAUGUGGUUUAAUUCGAUGCAACGCGAAGAACCUUACCUACUCUUGACAUCCAGA
rnacentral:rRNA from 1 species